GAAAUGCGAUACUUGGUGUGAAUUGCAGACUUCAGUGAAUCAUCGAAUCUUUGAACGCACAUUGCGCCCGCCAGUAUUCUGGCGGGCAUGCCUGUUCGAGCGUCAUUUCAACCAUCAAGCCCCCGGGCUUGCGUUGGGGGCCUGCGGCUGCCGCAGCCCCCGAAAACCAGUGGCGGGCUCGCUGUCACACCGAGCGCAGUAGCAAUAUCUCGCUCCGGUCGCGGCGGCGGGCGCUUGCCGUAAAACACACCCCACAUCAAGGUUGACCUCGGAUCAGGUAGGAAUACCCGCUGAACUUAA
rnacentral:misc_RNA from 1 species